rnacentral:misc_RNA from 1 species
GAUGAAGAACGCAGCGAAAUGCGAUAAGUAGUGUGAAUUGCAGAAUUCAGUGAAUCAUCGAAUCUUUGAACGCACAUUGCGCCUCUUGGUAUCCCGAGGGGCAUGCCUGUUCGAGCGUCAUUUCACCACUCAAGCCUGGCUUGGUGUUGGGCGACGUCCUCUUUGGGGACGCGCCUCGAAACGCUCGGCGGCGUGGCACCGGCUUUAAGCGUAGCAGAAUCUUUCGCUUUGGAAGUCGGGGCCCCGUCUGCCGGAAGACCUGCUCGCAAGGUUGACCUCGGAUCAGGCAGGGAUACCCGCUGAACUUAAGCAUAUCAAUAAGCGGAGGA